rnacentral:rRNA from 1 species
AUAGAAUUAUUGUUGCGUCUAAAAAGCUCGUAGUUUGAAAACUUGCCUUGGCUCGCAUCUGGCUCUUAAAUGGGCCGCCGCUUGUUGGGUGCAAAUAUCGAUGACUGUUUUUGCCGACUUCACUGUUUGGCUUAUAAGAGUUAUCAAAUAUCACUUUGAUUAAAUUAGAGUGCUUAAAGCAAGUGUGUUACUUGGAUAUAAAUGCAUGGAAUGAUGGAAUAUGUUGUUGUUCUAUUUGUUGGUUUUUGAACGAUAAAAUGAUUGAAAGGAACUGUUGGGGGCAUUCGUAUUGUUGUGAGAGAGGUGAAAUUCUUAGACCACAGCAAGACGAACUACUG